rnacentral:rRNA from 1 species
AUGGUCCUGCUCACCGCCGUCCACUUCGCCAAGCAGGGCUUCGCCGUCGCCGCCGUCGACCACCAGGGGCACGGCUUCUCCGAGGGCUUCCAGGCCCACAUCCCGGACAUCGGCCCCGUGCUCGACGACUGCGAGGCCGGCUUCGCCCCCUUCCGCGCUGACUACCCUCCCCCGCUGCUCUGCUUCCUCUACGGGGAGUCCCUCGGCGGCGCCAUCGCGCUGCUGCUGCACCUCACCAAAUCAGACACAGGUGUCGCGCGCGCGCGAGCAUCGCACCGCCCAGGGCCCGCAGCCCGCAGGCACUGA